AGAGUUUGAUCCUGGCUCAGAAUGAACGCUGGCGGCGCGCCUAAUACAUGCAAGUCGAGCGAGAAGACGUAGCAAUACGUUUGUAAAGCGGCGAACGGGUGAGGAAUACAUGGGUAACCUACCCUUGAGUGGGGAAUAACUAGCCGAAAGGUUAGCUAAUACCGCGUACGCUUCUUGGACUUCGGUUCAGGGAGGAAAGCGCUACCGUGGGUAGCGCGCUCUUGGAUGGGCUCAUGUCCUAUCAGCUUGUUGGUGAGGUAACGGCUCACCAAGGCUUCGACGGGUAGCUGGUCUGAGAGGACGAUCAGCCACACUGGCACUGCGACACGGGCCAGACUCCUACGGGAGGCAGCAGUAAGGAAUAUUGCGCAAUGGGCGAAAGCCUGACGCAGCGACGCCGCGUGGGGGAUGAAGGUCUUCGGAUUGUAAACCCCUUUCGGGAGGGAAGAUGGAAUGGGGUAACCCAUUCGGACGG
rnacentral:rRNA from 1 species